ACGCCCAUCAGCGGGGCCCGGACAAACAAGCCGUGGUGAGUCCGUGCCGUGGCGGCCGGAGGAAUGCAGGCCGAGGCACGCACGCCCAAAGGAGCCUCACGAUAGUCAUUCUGGGGAAAGAAGCCAAACAAAAAGUAUAUACGAUGCUUCCAUUUAUGGAAAACUCUACAAAAUGCAAGCUGACCAGCAUUUGGCCAGAGAAGACCUGCCGGAGAAUUCAGAAGGGGCAAGCCUGGCGGUGGCGGCGUGACCCAGCAACCUCUCCGUGAGUGACAUGGCACCUUCCAGUUAGAAGCUGGCCUUGGAGCUGGUGCUUGGUA